rnacentral:rRNA from 1 species
GACGAACGCUGGCGGCGUGCUUAACACAUGCAAGUCAAGCGGUAAGGCUCCUUCGGGGGUACACGAGCGGCGAACGGGUGAGUAACACGUGAGUAAUCUGCCCCUCACUUCGGGAUAAGCCUCGGAAACGAGGUCUAAUACCGGAUACGACCACUUCCUGCAUGGGAUGGUGGUGGAAAGUUUUUUCGGUGGGGGAUGUGCUCGCGGCCUAUCAGCUUGUUGGUGGGGUAAUGGCCUACCAAGGCUUCGACGGGUAGCCGGCCUGAGAGGGUGACCGGCCACACUGGGACUGAGACACGGCCCAGACUCCUACGGGAGGCAGCAGUGGGGAAUAUUGGACAAUGGGCGGAAGCCUGAUCCAGCAACGCCGCGUGAGGGAUGACGGCCUUCGGGUUGUAAACCUCUUUCAGCGGGGACGAAGCGCGAGUGACGGUACCCGCAGAAGAAGCACCGGCCAACUACGUGCCAGCCGCCGCCGUAACAC